CAGUGUUACAGCUCUUUUAGAAUUUGUCUAAGAGACAAA
ensembl:snRNA U7 U7 small nuclear RNA